rnacentral:rRNA from 1 species
CAUGGCUCAGGAUGAACGCUAGCGACAGGCUAACACAUGCAAGUCGAGGGGCAGCACGGGAGUAGCAAUACAACUGGUGGCGACCGGCGCACGGGUGAGUAACGCGUAUGCAACCUACCUAUCAGAGGGGAAUAACCCGGCGAAAGUCGGACUAAUACCGCAUAAAACAGGGGCACCGCAUGGUGAUAUUUGUUAAGAAAUUCGCUGAUAGAUGGGCAUGCGUUCCAUUAGGUAGUUGGUGAGGUAAUGGCUCACCAAGCCGACGAUGGGUAGGGGAACUGAGAGGUUGGUCCCCCACACUGGUACUGAGACACGGACCAGACUCCUACGGGAGGCAGCAGUGAGGAAUAUUGGUCAAUGGGCGGGAGCCUGAACCAGCCAAGUCCGCGUGAAGGAAGAAGGAUCUAUAGUUCGUAAACUUCUUUUGCAGGGGAAUAAAGUGCAGGACGUGUCCUGUUUUGUAUGUACCCUGAGAAUAAGGAUCGGCUAACUCCGUGCCAGCCGCGGC